rnacentral:rRNA from 1 species
GACGAACGCUGGCGGCGCGCCUAACACAUGCAAGUCGAACGGACGAGAGGGAGCUUGCUCCUUCAAGUUAGUGGCGGACGGGUGAGUAACACGUGAGCAACCUGCCUUUCAGAGGGGGACAACAGUUGGAAACGACUGCUAAUACCGCAUAACGUUGCGGGGAGGCAUCUUCCUGCAACCAAAGAUUUAUCGCUGAAAGAUGGGCUCGCGUCUGAUUAGAUAGUUGGUGGGUAACGGCCUACCAAGUCGACGAUCAGUAGCCGGACUGAGAGGUUGAACGGCCACAUUGGGACUGAGACACGGCCCAGACUCCUACGGGAGGCAGCAGUGGGGAAUAUUGCACAAUGGGGGAAACCCUGAUGCAGCAACGCCGCGUGAAGGAUGAAGGUUUUCGGAUCGUAAACUUCUAUCAACAGGGAAGAAAAAUGACGUACCUGAAUAAGAAGACCCCGGCUAACUACGUGCCAGCAGCCG